GCACUCCGGCUGUGCUGACCCCUGGGAAUUUCCCAAAUGUGGAAAUCUCGAUUGCAUAAUUUCUGGUAGUGGGGGACUGCGUUCGCGCUCUCCCCUG
rnacentral:snRNA from 8 species